GACGAACGCUGGCGGCGUGCCUAAUACAUGCAAGUCGAGCGAAUUUACGAGAGCUUGCUCUCGUAAAUUAGCGGCGGACGGGUGAGUAACACGUGGGCAACCUGCCUAUAAGACUGGGAUAACUUCGGGAAACCGGAGCUAAUACCGGAUAAUUCACAUCUACUCAUGUAGAUGUGCUGAAAGACGGUUUACGCUGUCACUUAUAGAUGGGCCCGCGGCGCAUUAGCUAGUUGGUGAGGUAACGGCUCACCAAGGCCACGAUGCGUAGCCGACCUGAGAGGGUGAUCGGCCACACUGGGACUGAGACACGGCCCAGACUCCUACGGGAGGCAGCAGUAGGGAAUCUUCCGCAAUGGACGAAAGUCUGACGGAGCAACGCCGCGUGAGUGAUGAAGGUUUUCGGAUCGUAAAACUCUGUUGUUAGGGAAGAACAAGUACCAGAGUAACUGCUGGUGCCUUGACGGUACCUAA
rnacentral:rRNA from 1 species